ACUUGAUGGUGUGGGCAUUUACAUAAGAGGUCUAUAAAAUGCUCCUAUGUCUCGAAAAAUAGUUCCCCAUCCACUUGUUAGAAACUAGUGAUUGCCCUCCUAAGCU